AUGAACGCUAGCGACAGGCCUAACACAUGCAAGUCGAGGGGCAGCACAAGGAGCAAUCUGAGGUGGCGACCGGCGCACGGGUGAGUAACACGUAUGCAACCUGCCUGUAAGCGGGGAAUAACCCGUUGAAAGACGGACUAAUACCGCAUAAUACUAAAUUACUGCAUGGUAAUUUAUUUAAACAUUUAUGGCUUACAGAUGGGCAUGCGCAUGAUUAGCUAGUUGGAGAGGUAACGGCUCCCCAAGGCAACGAUCAUUAGGGGUUCUGAGAGGAAGGUCCCCCACACUGGUACUGAGACACGGACCAGACUCCUACGGGAGGCAGCAGUGAGGAAUAUUGGUCAAUGGACGAGAGUCUGAACCAGCCAAGCCGCGUGCAGGAAGAAUGUUCCCUAUGGAUUGUAAACUGCUUUUGCAGGGGAAUAAAGUGCAUCACGUGUGAUGUUUUGUAUGUACUCUGCGAAUAAGGAUCGGCUAACUCCGUGCCAGCAGCCGC
rnacentral:rRNA from 1 species